rnacentral:sRNA from 1 species
CAUGAAGGAGCGCAGACUAAGAAUGCCACGUCCUGUGGCAACGUCUGCAUAACCCGCAUCCUGCGGG